rnacentral:rRNA from 1 species
UACGGAGGGGGCGAGCGUUGUUCGGAAUUACUGGGCGUAAAGCGCGCGUAGGCGGACCUGCAAGUCGGGGGUGAAAGCACGAGGCUUAACCUCGGAACUGCCUUCGAUACUGCGGGUCUCGAGUCCGGGAGAGGUGAGUGGAAUUCCUAGUGUAGAGGUGAAAUUCGUAGAUAUUAGGAAGAACACCAGUGGCGAAGGCGGCUCUAUGGCCCGGGACUGACGCUGAGGCGCGAAAGCGUGGGGAGCAAACAGG